AUGGCGGGUGAGACGGCGGCGUCGACGCUGGCAAAUCCGUCGGGGCAGAGGAACUCGAAUCCUGGAGGGGGCCAUGAGCUGGGUCUCUUCAGCGGAAGGGAGUGGGAGCAAAUAAGGGAGAGAUCGAGGCGGAUCCUUCGGGGAGCGACGGAUCGGGACCAGACUUUGAUCCGGUCGAGAAGAAGAGCGAAGGAGACGGCGGCCUUGCUGGCAGGUGAUAUUCCAUCGAGGCCUGGGAAGGAUAUAAGGAGUGGAUUGACCGUGUGUCCCGCGGGAUCAGAUGGAUGCAUCUCGCAGGGGAAGGGCGCUGUUUCAGCCGGUAGUUCAGAGAUAGGUUCAGUAGAUAAGGCUAGUUUUUAA
rnacentral:rRNA from 1 species